rnacentral:tRNA from 3 species
CGGAGUCGAUCCUUCCGUCCAG